rnacentral:misc_RNA from 1 species
AAAUUUAAUUUAAAAGAUUUUCGAGAUUUUACAUGAUGAUAGCUAAGCGCCUAUAAUUUUCUGAUAAAUAAUAUAAGCGAAAUCCAACCCAUGAGAGGGCGACACGACCGCCUGAAGCCGCGAGUUGCAGACAGAUAAAACUAGAAGAAGAGAGGAAGGGGGAGUGUUAGGACAGAGGCAAGGAGAAAAAAAAAAUGUUUUCUUUUUAUCGCCCAAAAAACAACCGUUGGAAAUGCCACGUGUCGUCCCACCGACCCACCUGUCUGCUUCACUCUCUCUCCUUCCGAUUCCCUGUGCUGUUUCCUUUCCUUAUUUCCUCCCUUUGGUUUCUUUUGUUUUCAAGGCGAAGAAUACCAAUCUCUCUUUCUCUUUCUCAUCUCUCUGAACCCGUGAACUCUCAUCUGCUUCUCUGCGCUGCCACUUUCCCAUCAGCACAAAAAUUUCUCUAAUGGCCAUUCACUAGCCAAGCAAAUGUUGCCUCUUCUUCACACAAUUUUACGCAUUAUAUCCAUUUCUUCUUCUUCUUCUUCUU